GAUGAACGCUGGCGGCGUGCCUAAUACAUGCAAGUCGAGCGAACAGACGAGGAGCUUUCUCCUCUGACGUUAGCGGCGGACGGUCGAGUAACACGUGGAUAACCAACCUUUAAGACUGGGAUAAAUUCGGGAAACCGGAUCUAAUACCGCAUAAUAUUUUGAACCGCAUGGUUCAAUAGUUAAAGACGGUUUUUCUUUCCCUUAUAGACGGUUCCGGGCCGCAUUAGCUUGUUGGUAAGGUAACGGCUUACCAAGGCAACGAUGCUUAGCCGACCGGAGAGGCUGAUCGGACACACUGGAACUGAGACACGGUCCAGACGCCUACGGGAGGCAGCAGUAGGGAAUCUUCCGCAAUGGGCGAAAGCCUGACGGAGAAACGCCGCGUGAGUGAUGAAGGUCUUCGGAUCGUAAAACUCUGUUAUGAGGGAAGAACAAAUGUGUAAGUAACUAUGCACGUCUUGACGGUACCUAAUCAGAAAGACACGGCUAACUAAGUG
rnacentral:rRNA from 1 species